rnacentral:misc_RNA from 1 species
ACAAACUUGGUCAUUUAGAGGAAGUAAAAGUCGUAACAAGGUUUCCGUAGGUGAACCUGCGGAAGGAUCAUUACCGAGUGCGGGCGCUUGCCGCCCAACCUCCCACCCUUGUCUCUACACACCUGUUGCUUUGGCGGGCCCACCGGGGCCACCCGGUCGCCGGGGGACGUCGUCCCCGGGCCCGCGCCCGCCGAAGCGCCCUGUGAACCCUGAUGAAGAUGGGCUGUCUGAGUACGAUGAAAAUUGUCAAAACUUUCAACAAUGGAUCUCUUGGUUCCGGCAUCGAUGAAGAACGCAGC